rnacentral:rRNA from 1 species
UACCCGCUGAACUUAAGCAUAUCAAUAAGCGGAGGAAAAGAAACCAACAGGGAUUGCCCUAGUAACGGCGAGUGAAGCGGCAACAGCUCAAAUUUGAAAUCUGGCUCUUUUAGAGUCCGAGUUGUAAUUUGCAGAGGGCGCUUUGGCGUUGGUAGCGGUCCAAGUUCUUUGGAACAGGACGUCACAGAGGGUGAGAAUCCCGUACGUGGUCGCUAGCCUUCGCCGUGUAAAGCCCCUUCGACGAGUCGAGUUGUUUGGGAAUGCAGCUCUAAAUGGGAGGUAAAUUUCUUCUAAAGCUAAAUACUGGCCAGAGACCGAUAGCGCACAAGUAGAGUGAUCGAAAGAUGAAAAGCACUUUGGAAAGAGAGUCAAAUAGCACGUGAAAUUGUUGAAAGGGAAGCGCUUGCAGCCAGACUUGCCUGUAGUUGCUUAUCCGGACUUUUGUCCGGUGCACUCUUCUGCGGGCAGGCCAGCAUCAGUUUGGGCGGUUGGAUAAAGGUCUCUGUCAUGUACCUCCUUUCGGGGAGGCCUUAUAGGGGAGACGACAUGCAACCAGCCUGGACUGAGGUCCGCGCAUCUGCUAGGAUGCUGGCGUAAUGGCUGUAAGCGGCCCGUCUUGAAACACGGACCAAGGAGUCUAACAUCUAUGCGAGUGUUUGGGUGUCAAGCCCAGACGCGUAAUGAAAGUGAACGGAGGUGGGAACCUUUUAGGUGCACCAUCGACCGAUCCUGAUGUCUUCGGAAGGAUUUGAGUAAGAGCAUGGCUGUUGGGACCCGAAAGAUGGUGAACUAUGCUUGAAUAGGGUGAAGCCAGAGGAAACUCUGGUGGAGGCUCGCAGCGGUUCUGACGUGCAAAUCGAUCGUCAAAUUUGGGCAUAGGGGCGAAAGACUAAUCGAACUAUCUAGUAGCUGGU